rnacentral:rRNA from 1 species
GAUUAAGUUAUUAAGGGCGCACGGUGGAUGCCUUGGCACUAGAAGCCGAUGAAGGACGUUACUAACGACGAUAUGCUUUGGGGAGCUGUAAGUAAGCUUUGAUCCAGAGAUUUCCGAAUGGGGAAACCCAGCAUGAGUUAUGUCAUGUUAUCGAUAUGUGAAUACAUAGCAUAUCAGAAGGCACACCCGGAGAACUGAAACAUCUUAGUACCCGGAGGAAGAGAAAGAAAAUUCGAUUCCCUUAGUAGCGGCGAGCGAAACGGGAAGAGCCCAAACCAACAAGCUUGCUUGUUGGGGUUGUAGGACACUCUAUACGGAGUUACAAAGGACGACAUUAGACGAAUCAUCUGGAAAGAUGAAUCAAAGAAGGUAAUAAUCCUGUAGUCGAAAAUGUUGUCUCUCUUGAGUGGAUCCUGAGUACGACGGAGCACGUGAAAUUCCGUCGGAAUCUGGGAGGACCAUCUCCUAAGGCUAAAUACUCUCUAGUGACCGAUAGUGAACCAGUACCGUGAGGGAAAGGUGAAAAGCACCCCGGAAGGGGAGUGAAAUAGAACCUGAAACCGUGUGCUUACAAGUAGUCAGAGCCCGUUAAUGGGUGAUGGCGUGCCUUUUGUAGAAUGAACCGGCGAGUUACGAUUUGAUGCAAGGUUAAGCAGUAAAUGUGGAGCCGUAGCGAAAGCGAGUCUGAAUAGGGCGUUUAGUAUUUGGUCGUAGACCCGAAACCAGGUGAUCUACCCUUGGUCAGGUUGAAGUUCAGGUAACACUGAAUGGAGGACCGAACCGACUUACGUUGAAAAGUGAGCGGAUGAACUGAGGGUAGCGGAGAAAUUCCAAUCGAACCUGGAGAUAGCUGGUUCUCUCCGAAAUAGCUUUAGGGCUAGCCUCAAGUGAUGAUUAUUGGAGGUAGAGCACUGUUUGGACGAGGGGCCCCUCUCGGGUUACCGAAUUCAGACAAACUCCGAAUGCCAAUUAAUUUAACUUGGGAGUCAGAACAUGGGUGAUAAGGUCCGUGUUCGAAAGGGAAACAGCCCAGACCACCAGCUAAGGUCCCAAAAUAUAUGUUAAGUGGAAAAGGAUGUGGCGUUGCCCAGACAACUAGGAUGUUGGCUUAGAAGCAGCCAUCAUUUAAAGAGUGCGUAAUAGCUCACUAGUCGAGUGACACUGCGCCGAAAAUGUACCGGGGCUAAACAUAUUACCGAAGCUGUGGAUUGUCCUUUGGACAAUGGUAGGAGAGCGUUCUAAGGGCGUUGAAGCAUGAUCGUAAGGACAUGUGGAGCGCUUAGAAGUGAGAAUGCCGGUGUGAGUAGCGAAAGACGGGUGAGAAUCCCGUCCACCGAUUGACUAAGGUUUCCAGAGGAAGGCUCGUCCGCUCUGGGUUAGUCGGGUCCUAAGCUGAGGCCGACAGGCGUAGGCGAUGGAUAACAGGUUGAUAUUCCUGUACCACCUAUAAUCGUUUUAAUCGAUGGGGGGACGCAGUAGGAUAGGCGAAGCGUGCGAUUGGAUUGCACGUCUAAGCAGUAAGGCUGAGUAUUAGGCAAAUCCGGUACUCGUUAAGGCUGAGCUGUGAUGGGGAGAAGACAUUGUGUCUUCGAGUCGUUGAUUUCACACUGCCGAGAAAAGCCUCUAGAUAGAAAAUAGGUGCCCGUACCGCAAACCGACACAGGUAGUCAAGAUGAGAAUUCUAAGGUGAGCGAGCGAACUCUCGUUAAGGAACUCGGCAAAAUGACCCCGUAACUUCGGGAGAAGGGGUGCUCUUUAGGGUUAACGCCCAGAAGAGCCGCAGUGAAUAGGCCCAAGCGACUGUUUAUCAAAAACACAGGUCUCUGCUAAACCGUAAGGUGAUGUAUAGGGGCUGACGCCUGCCCGGUGCUGGAAGGUUAAGAGGAGUGGUUAGCUUCUGCGAAGCUACGAAUCGAAGCCCCAGUAAACGGCGGCCGUAACUAUAACGGUCCUAAGGUAGCGAAAUUCCUUGUCGGGUAAGUUCCGACCCGCACGAAAGGCGUAACGAUUUGGGCACUGUCUCAACGAGAGACUCGGUGAAAUCAUAGUACCUGUGAAGAUGCAGGUUACCCGCGACAGGACGGAAAGACCCCGUGGAGCUUUACUGUAGCCUGAUAUUGAAAUUCGGCACAGCUUGUACAGGAUAGGUAGGAGCCUUUGAAACGUGAGCGCUAGCUUACGUGGAGGCGCUGGUGGGAUACUACCCUAGCUGUGUUGGCUUUCUAACCCGCACCACUUAUCGUGGUGGGAGACAGUGUCAGGCGGGCAGUUUGACUGGGGCGGUCGCCUCCUAAAAGGUAACGGAGGCGCUCAAAGGUUCCCUCAGAAUGGUUGGAAAUCAUUCAUAGAGUGUAAAGGCAUAAGGGAGCUUGACUGCGAGACCUACAAGUCGAGCAGGGUCGAAAGACGGACUUAGUGAUCCGGUGGUUCCGCAUGGAAGGGCCAUCGCUCAACGGAUAAAAGCUACCCCGGGGAUAACAGGCUUAUCUCCCCCAAGAGUUCACAUCGACGGGGAGGUUUGGCACCUCGAUGUCGGCUCAUCGCAUCCUGGGGCUGUAGUCGGUCCCAAGGGUUGGGCUGUUCGCCCAUUAAAGCGGUACGCGAGCUGGGUUCAGAACGUCGUGAGACAGUUCGGUCCCUAUCCGUCGUGGGCGUAGGAAAUUUGAGAGGAGCUGUCCUUAGUACGAGAGGACCGGGAUGGACAUACCUCUGGUGUACCAGUUGUCGUGCCAACGGCAUAGCUGGGUAGCUAUGUGUGGACGGGAUAAGUGCUGAAAGCAUCUAAGCAUGAAGCCCCCCUCAAGAUGAGAUUUCCCAACUUCGGUUAUAAGAUCCUCAAAGAUGAUGAGGUUAAUAGGUUCGAGGUGGAAGCAUGGUGACAUGUGGAGCUGACGAAUACUAAUCGAUCGAAGACUUAAUCAA